CCUUAAUGGAGAGUUUGAUCCUGGCUCAGGACGAACGCUGGCGGCGUGCUUAACACAUGCAAGUCGAGCGGAAAGGCCCCUUCGGGGGUACUCGAGCGGCGA
rnacentral:rRNA from 1 species